rnacentral:lncRNA from 1 species
AUGGGACAAUCCCAAAGGGUCAGAGGGACAAUCCCAAGGGAUCCAUGGGACAAUCCCAAAGGGUCGGAGGGACAAUCCCAAAGGGUCAGAGGGACAAUUCCCAAGGUUUCCAUGGGACAAUUCCCAAAGGGUCAGAGGGACAAUCCCAAGGGAUCCAUGGGACAAUCCCAUAGGAUCGGAGGGUCCCUCUUACCAGGGGGUCCGCAGGGGCCGGAGCUGAGCGAGUCCAUGCUCUUGGCCGGCCGCAGACUGACCUUCCCGCACUUCUCCUCUGGGAAUGGGGGUGGGAGAAUGGGAUUGGGGUGGAGUUGGGGACACGACACCCCCUCCCCCCCCAAUCCAUGGGAUCCCCCUGGAAUUCUCACCUUUCUCCUCCGCCUUCCCCGGCUUCCGCUUGGCCUCGUGCCCAGAGCGGCCCAGGUUGAAGAUGGAUCUCCACUUCUUGGCCUUGAGGGAGCCCUUGCGCCUGCGGGGACACCUGGGAUGCACCUGGGCACACCUGGGGGCACCUGGGCACACCUGGGGGCACCUGGGCACACCUGGGGGCACCUGGGCACACCUGGGGGCACCUGGAUACACCUGAGCACACCUGGGGGCACCUGGGCACACCUGGGGGCACCUGGGCACACCUGGGGGUGCCUGGAUACACCUGGGGCACACCUGGGGGCAUCUGGGCACACCUGGGGCACACCUGGGGGCACCUGGAUACACCUGGGGCACACCUGGGGCACACCUGGGGGCAUCUGGGCACACCUGGGAUACACCUGGGCACACCUGGGCACACGUGGAGGCACCUGGAUACACGUGGGGACACGUGGGCACACCUGGGGGCACUUGGAUACACCUGGGCUCACCUGGGGACACCUGGGCACACCUGGGGGUGCCUGGGAUACAGCUGGGGGCACCUGGAUACACCUGGGGAUACACCUGGGGACACCUGGGCACACCUGGGAUACACCUGGGCACACCUGGGGGCAUCUGAGCACACCUGGGGGCACCUGGAUACACCUGGGCUCACCUGGGGGCACCUGGAUACGCCUGAAGACACCUGGGAUACACCUGGGAUACACCUGGGCUCACCUGGGGGCACCUGGGCACACCUGGGAUACACCUGGGAUACACCUGGGCUCACCUGGGGGCACCUGGGCACACCUGGGGCACACCUGGGCACACCUGGGGUACACCUGUGCUACACCUGUGCACACUUGGGGCACACCUGGGCACACCUGGGGCACACCUGGGGCACACCUGGAUCAUGCCCUGGUAGGACCACCCGAGCCACGCCCCAGCUGGGGGUUCCCUGGGGGUCCCCGGGGUGGGCUGGGGGUGUCACCUGUCCCUGUCCCCAGGUGUCCCCAGGGUGGGGUGGAGGUGUCACCUGUCCCUGUCCCCAGGUGA